CAAAUAUGUCGCCUUUUCUUCAUUGUCUGUGACACAAUGAUAAUUUAAAGAAGGAUUGGAAAAACAAUUGAAAUCUGAGAUCUAAGAAAAUAUUUCUUUAUAUAGUCCAAGACUUAAAAAGAAUCCAGUUCAUCAGUUUAGUUCAACUAUUAUUUAUGAGUCUAUAGAUUUAGAAUUAUUUCGAGUGUGGGAAGUUUGAGACUAGGUAACCCAGGCAGCCAUAGAAGAGGGUAAUGAACUCUGUGGUUAGAAAAUAUGUGAAAUCAACUAUUUACAAAACUAUGAAUUGUUCGAAAUGCUAAAAAUUUAUUGACCCCAGGAGUAGAUUAUUUGGCAAAACCUUUCAGAAUUUGUGGUCUAUUAUUAUGCUCUUCAACUUCAUACUUUAUUUAGCUAUUUAAUAACACUUUUUGAUUGAAGCGUCAAUGAUGACCCUAUAUUGUAGAGAAAAAUCUCGUCUGGUGUACAACAUGUUUAGGCCUGUAAUCUUUGAUGAAGUAUUGGCAUGUAUUUGGGAUUUCAUUUUUAUUCAUUUGGAAAGAUUUUUAUUUUUAUUUUGUGGGUAACAUAGAUGAAUCAGAAAUUAAAGUGUUGAGCAUACUAUACACAUAUAUAUGUUUUUACCAAGAUAUGUCGUUUUUCACCAGAAAAAAAACAGUACCAAUUAAUCAAUCUACGAGAAUUGGUAUCCAAGAAAAAUAAGAAAAUCCAC
rnacentral:lncRNA from 1 species